rnacentral:rRNA from 1 species
CGGGUGAGUAACACGUGAGUAACCUGCCCUUAACUCUGGGAUAAGCCUUGGAAACGGGGUCUAAUACUGGAUAUUGACUUUACCUCGCAUGGGGUUUGGUUGAAAGAUUUAUUGGUUUUGGAUGGACUCGCGGCCUAUCAGCUUGUUGGUGAGGUAAUGGCUCACCAAGGCGACGACGGGUAGCCGGCCUGAGAGGGUGACCGGCCACACUGGGACUGAGACACGGCCCAGACUCCUACGGGAGGCAGCAGUGGGGAAUAUUGCACAAUGGGCGAAAGCCUGAUGCAGCGACGCCGCGUGAGGGAUGACGGCCUUCGGGUUGUAAACCUCUUUCAGUAGGGAACAAGGCCAGCAUUUUUGUUGGUUGAGGGUACUUGCAGAAGAAGCGCCGGCUAACUACGUGCCAGCAGCCGCGGUAAUACGUAGGGCGCAAGCGUUAUCCGGAAUUAUUGGGCGUAAAGAGCUCGUAGGCGGUUUGUCGCGUCUGCCGUGAAAGUCCGGGGCUCAACCCCGGAUCUGCGGUGGGUACGGGCAGACUAGAGUGAUGUAGGGGAGACUGGAAUUCCUGGUGUAGCGGUGAAAUGCGCAGAUAUCAGGAGGAACACCGAUGGCGAAGGCAGGUCUCUGGGCAUUAACUGACGCUGAGGAGCGAAAGCAUGGGGAGCGAACAGGAUUAGAUACCCUGGUAGUCCAUGCCGUAAACGUUGGGCACUAGGUGUGGGGGACAUUCCACGUUUUCCGCGCCGUAGCUAACGCAUUAAGUGCCCCGCCUGGGGAGUACGGCCGCAAGGCUAAAACUCAAAGGAAUUGACGGGGGCCCGCACAAGCGGCGGAGCAUGCGGAUUAAUUCGAUGCAACGCGAAGAACCUUACCAAGGCUUGACAUGAACCGGUAAUACCUGGAAACAGGUGCCCCGCUUGCGGUCGGUUUACAGGUGGUGCAUGGUUGUCGUCAGCUCGUGUCGUGAGAUGUUGGGUUAAGUCCCGCAACGAGCGCAACCCUCGUUCUAUGUUGCCAGCACGUAAUGGUGGGGACUCAUAGGAGACUGCCGGGGUCAACUCGGAGGAAGGUGAGGACGACGUCAAAUCAUCAUGCCCCUUAUGUCUUGGGCUUCACGCAUGCUACAAUGGCCGGUACAAUGGGUUGCGAUACUGUGAGGUGGAGCUAAUCCCAAAAAGCCGGUCUCAGUUCGGAUUGGGGUCUGCAACUCGACCCCAUGAAGUCGGAGUCGCUAGUAAUCGCAGAUCAGCAACGCUGCGGUGAAUACGUUCCCGGGCCUUGUACACACCGCCCGUCAAGUCACGAAAGUUGGUAACA